ACCUAUUAUAAGAUAAGAAUAAAAUUAAAAUAAAUUGGUGGGUUCCUCCCACACUUUCAUCUAUUUUUUCUCGUUUUAUACCUAUAUAGAUGACUUACAAUUUUUAGAAGUAACUGGACAAUUUUUUAUUACUCUUUCUAGAAUACACUAUCUGAUUACUUUGAAGUCUCGGCCUAACCAACCGCAUCCCAUGGUCUUCUAAGCUCCUCAGCUGGUGUUGACAUUCCAAGAGUACCGGAUGUAGGAACUGAAUUGUAACUAGUACCAGAUGUAGGAACUGAAUUUUAACUAACACUGAUAUUUCAAGAGUCCCAAGCGACAUAUCUGACAUUGCAGCAAAACUUGCGUGCCUGGAACGAGUGCAGUCCUCCGCCAAAAAAAUUGAGGCAACCACUUGAGUAAGGGGCACUAGAGAUGUUUCAGACGGAGCAUGCAUGCGUAGCACCCCUCUUUAACUGAACAUUCCUAAAAAAGUCCCUGCCUAGCAUUCCUGGGAAGCGAUGGCAGCUGGGCUGGCUGGUCCGUCGCUGGAGUAAGUUGUCAUGCAAGAGUUCUGUAUGGUUGGCAGGACUUAUAAUGUUAUUGUGAGAGAGGGAGGGUCACUUUUGCUCUUCUAACAAAUUCACUUCUUUUACUCUUUUCUUGUUUUGGGGGUCUUAUCAUGUUUUGGGGAUCUUAUCAAUAUAUUUUCAGUUUUAAAGUGAUGAUAAGAAGUAAUCACUUCUCAAGUAAGAUUUUUCCGGUUGUUGGUUGUUGGUCUCUUUUGUGCCAACACUUCCAAAUUAUCUGAUGCAAUGUAUCUAUCAAUGGAUUUGAGGAAAUAUUUUAAGGGCACUUAGAGAGAAAAGAUCGUUUGCACACCUGCGAGAUUUAAACGAAAUGACUUUUUUUCGCAUGAUUUUCUGUUCAUUUAAUUGGCAUAUCUUAGCAGCCCAGUCAGUUCAAAGUUUGAUUUUGCCUUCGGUAUCAAAAGUUGUUAGUUCAGAGUUUUCGAUAAUUAGACAAAAUUUGAACUAUCUGUUUUGAUGUCUAUUCUGGCCAAAUAAACAACAAUAAUAUUAGUACUGCCGUAAGGUCUUCUCUGCAUGGCCUUUUAAUUCUCCUGGCACAUUGAUUUCUUGAUUGUCUUAGUGCUACGUCCUUGCAAAGGACAAAAAACCCCUAAAUUAGGAGCUAAAAUUGACCAUAUGGUGGUCAAUCUGUUAAAGUAUCAUAGAACUUAGUACUCUAUAUGAAUGGUAGUUCAAGCCAAUAUCAUGGUGAUGGAAGUUUUGUUCUUUUCUCGGCUACAAUUUGACCGGGGACAAAAAUCGUGUAGGUAACUGUUUCAUUCCUAGAAGACAUAGUGUGGGAUGAGUGUCGCCGGCAAUCUAGCUGGACAUAAGCAGCCAUAGUGCGAUUUGAAAUCAGCCGUUCAUGCCUACAAGGUUAUGUCUACUUUUGGCCAGUGCCCACUACUGAGCACCCUGCCAGAAUUGUCGAGUCAAUGGAGCACACUUUAUGCUUUGAUAUCGAAAAUAGGCUAUCUGAUUUACCGAUUAAUAGGUACCGUUCACGAAAUCACAAAUAUUGUAGCAAAGUAGGUAGUUCAUGCAACUGAGCCUGGGGAUUUGCAGUUUUCAAAUCCUAGAUGAAUUCAAAGUAGACUGCCACCAAUUUUUUUCUCAUGUAGUUAAUUUGUCAGAAAAUUUGGACCAGUUAUUGGCACUUUUUAUGCUCCUUAUGACCCUCUGAAUGUAUUCUAAACACAAGCAAAGAGAUCUCUUCCGUAGUCUUGUGUUCUCUACAAGCUAACCACUAAUUCUGAAAACCGCUUUCUUGCAUGGGUAUACGACAUCAUGGGUGAUUUACCUUCUGGUUCUGAAGGAGUACCAAUGGAGGAGGAUGCUUUAUUCCAGUUGCAAGGAUGGCACAGUUCUGUUAGGACUUCCUCCAGCAGGCGGACUCGAUGUUGUAAUUGAAGUGGAUAUCCCAGGUUCUAUCAGUCAGGAAUAAAGAGGCAAAGGAGAUUGUGUGCAUCAAAGGGAAAUCUAACACUCGGGAGCAUACAGUGCCCUACCUUUGUGCCGGCGCUGAGGCUCAUCUCUGCUAUGAAAGGAGGCUGCGAGAAAGACGGUAGCAUCGCCAACUGUAAACUGCUGUGUUAAGUGGGCCCCAGAUUUAUAUGAUUUGGUAACAGUCUCUUAUGGAUCAUUCAGUGACGAGCCCCCAGCAGCAUCCGAGGUUUAGGAAGGACAAGGGAAGCAGCGGCAGCGGCCAAAAAAGCAUGGAAGCAGUUUCCUGCACGAGAGUGUAAUGGUGAUCUAGGGGAGGGUGUCAUAUUUUUUGUGAAUAUAGAUAAGACAGCUGUAGUAGUUUUUUUUUAAGCUUAAGCUGUAGUAGAAUAUAACCCCGCAGGCCUGUAGUAGGGUUCUGUACGUAGCCUGCCUGUAUGUCAUGUUUGUUUGUAGGAACGACCGAACUGACGGUGUCUCCUAUCCUGCAACAUCAUGUUCCGACGAUUUGCCGUAUCUCUGUUAAGAACCAAUUGUAUACCAGCUGAAAGUUUAUU